UACGCAGGGGGCAAGCGUUGUCCGGAUUUAUUGGGCGUAAAGAGCUCGUAGGCGGUUGGGCAAGUCACGUGUGAAAUCUCCAAGCUCAACGUGGAGGCGCCACGUGAGACUGCCCUGACUCGAGUCCGGUAGGGGAGCGUGGAAUUCCCGGUGUAGCGGGGAAAUGCGCAGAGAUCGGGAGGAACACCCGUAGCGAAGGCGGCGCUCUGGGCCGGUACUGACGCUGAGGGAUGAAAGCUGGGGGAGCAAACCGG
rnacentral:rRNA from 1 species